AUUGAACGCUGGCGGCAUGCUUUACACAUGCAAGUCGAACGGUAACAGGCCUUCGGGUGCUGACGAGUGGCGAACGGGUGAGUAAUGCAUCGGAACGUGCCCAAUCGUGGGGGAUAACGUAGCGAAAGUUACGCUAAUACCGCAUAAGCCCUGAGGGGGAAAGCAGGGGGAUCGCAAGACCUUGCGCGAAUGGGAGCGGCCGAUGUCAGACUUAGCUAGUUGGUGGGGGUAAAGGCCUACCAAGGCGACGAUCUGUAGCGGGUCUGAGAGGAUGAUCCGCCACACUGGGACUGAGACACGGCCCAGACUCCUACGGGAGGCAGCAGUGGGGAAUUUUGGACAAUGGGCGCAAGCCUGAUCCAGCCAUGCCGCGUGCGGGACGAAGGCCUUC
rnacentral:rRNA from 1 species